rnacentral:misc_RNA from 1 species
ACUUAUAAUAAAAGAAAAAAAAAAGCAGCUAGUUAGCCACUUGGCGUUGAAAUCCCUCUACUGUUUUCUAGGAUGCCGGUAAGUAAUACAACUGCAUAAACCUAUCAAUCCAAAAGUUCGGGUUCAUGUUGAUAUAUAUCUACAUGUGUUUCUAAGAGAGAAAUCUGAAAUAUAGACACAAAGGAGAAUGACUUUCCAGGGGUAUAAGGAAGAUUUGAGGAGAGAUAUGCACACAUCCAGUACAACACUGGGAAGGAUUCAGAAGGGAAGAAAUCAAAUUUUAAGAGCUCUCUGAUAAGCCAAAAUAAUUGGGUGCUUGAUUUUAUAAGAAAGAGUUGCUAUUCCAGUGUUAUAUGAAAUACUUCAAAUUCCUAACAAGCAAAUACUUCACAAAAUUUGACUCAAAGCUUAUGAAGAAGAUCACAUUCACCGAAAUGUCAAUUUUGAUCCAUCAUGUAGAUUUCAAUUCUGUAACUCCAUGAUCGCACAAGCAUGAAGCAUGGACUAUCGUAUCAUUAACAAAAUCCUAAUUCAAGGUAACGUGACAGAGUUGUUCCAAACAAAUCCAGCUUCAUCAUGUAUUCAGAAGAAGCAUAGAACAGAUUCUGCUCCUCCACUGAUUGAACCAGCGUUCAAUUUAACAAAAAUAUCUUGAACACAAGAUCCCUUUGAUUCUGUUAAUUAUAAAAACGGAGAAAGCUUAGAACUUUAAUGGUCGAAAAUCAUGGUUUAAUUUAGAGAAAGGCUAUAGGGAGAAAUGUUUCCAAUAAGAUGAAGACUGAUUAAGCAAAACACUGCAGAGAUCUCAACAAUCAAACCUUUCGAGGUUGCAAGUGCAACAUAUACAAAGGUAUCUUCUCAAAAGAAGAGAUCCAUGGAAAAUCCAGAGAAAAACAAUCAACUAGAAAUAGUCUAAAUAAAAUCACCCAAGUUAAUUGAAAUGAUCAAAAGCUAAGAUAAUAAGAUACUCACCUGAAUUAGAAGGACCUCAAGAA